rnacentral:rRNA from 1 species
GACAGAGGGUGCAAACGUUGCUCGGAAUCACUGGGCGUAAAGAGCGUGUAGGCGGCCAGGUAGGUCGGUUGUGAAAACUGGAGGCUCAACCUUCAGAGGUCGACCGAAACCAUCUGGCUAGAGUCCGGGAGAGGAGAGUGGAAUUCCUGGUGUAGCGGUGAAAUGCGCAGAUAUCGGGAAGAACACGAGUGGCGAAAGCGCUCUACUGGGCCAUAACUGACACUGAGGGACGAAAGCUAGGGGAGCGAAAGGG